UCUGGAAACUGUNUGACUUGAGUGCAGAAGGGGAGAGUGGAAUUCCAUGNGUAGCGGUGAAAUGCGUAGAUAUAUGGAGGAACACCAGUGGCGAAAGCGGCUCUCUGGUCUGUCACUGACGCUGAGGCUCGAAAGCGUGGGUAGCGAACAGGAUUAGAUACCCUGGUAGUCCACGCNGUAAACGAUGAGUGCUAGGUGUUAGGCCCUUUCCGGGGCUUAGUGCCGGAGCUAACGCAAUAAGCACUCCGCCUGGGGAGUACGACCGCAAGGUUGAAACUCAAAGGAAUUGACGGGGGCCCGCACAAGCGGUGGAGCAUGUGGUUUAAUUCGAAGCAACGCGAAGAACCUUACCAGGUCUUGACAUCCCGAUGCUAUUCUUAGAGAUAGGAAGUUACUUCGGUACAUCGGAGACAGGUGGUGCAUGGUUGUCGUCAGCUCGUGUCGUGAGAUGUUGGGUUANNNNNNNNNACGAGCGCAACCCUUAUUGUUAGUUGCCAUCAUUAAGUUGGGCACUCUAGCGAGACUGCCGGUAAUAAACCGGAGGAAGGUGGGGAUGACGUCAAAUCAUCAUGCCCCUUAUGACCUGGGCUACACACGUGCUACAAUGGUCGGUACAACGAGUUGCGAGCCGGUGACGGCAAGCUAAUCUCUGAAAGCCGAUCUCAGUUCGGAUUGGAGGCUGCAACUCGCCUCCAUGAAGUCGGAAUCGCUAGUAAUCGCGGAUCAGCACGCCGCGGUGAAUACGUUCCCGGGCCUNG
rnacentral:rRNA from 1 species